rnacentral:rRNA from 1 species
AUUGAACGCUGGCGGCGUGCCUAACACAUGCAAGUCGAGCGGUUGAGGUAGCUUGCUACCGAUACAGCGGCGGACGGGUGAGUAAUACAUGGGAAUCUGCCUGGUAGUGGGGGACAACGUUUCGAAAGGAACGCUAAUACCGCAUACGCCCUACGGGGGAAAGGGGGGGAUCGCAAGACCUCUCGCUAUCAGAUGAGCCCAUGUCAGAUUAGCUUGUUGGUGAGGUAAAGGCUCACCAAGGCGACGAUCUGUAACUGGUCUGAGAGGAUGAUCAGUCACACUGGAACUGAGACACGGUCCAGACUCCUACGGGAGGCAGCAGUGGGGAAUAUUGGGCAAUGGGCGCAAGCCUGACCCAGCCACGCCGCGUGAGGGAUGAAGGCCUUCGGGUUGUAAACCUCUUUCAGCAGGGACGAAGCGAAAGUGACUGUACCUGCAGAAGAAGCACCGGCUAACUUCGUGC